CCUACGGGAGGCAGCAGUUGGGAAUAUUGCGCAAUGGGCGAAAGCCUGACGCAGCGACGCCGCGUGGAGGAUGACGGCCUUAGGGUUGUAAACUCCUUUUAUAGGUGAGUAAUUUGUGAACGUAGCCUAUGAAUAAGCACCGGCUAACUCCGUGCCAGCAGCCGCGGUAAUACGGAGGGUGCAAACGUUGUCCGGAAUCACUGGGCGUAAAGCGCAUGUAGGUGGUUGAGUAAGUGGGCGAUUAAAUACCGAUGCUUAACAUCGGAACUGUUGCCUAUACUGCUUGACUAGAGGAUGACAGGGGUAAGCGGAACUUUAGGUGUAGGAGUGAAAUCCGUAGAUAUCUAAAGGAACACCAAUGGCGAAGGCAGCUUACUGGGUUAUUUCUGACACUGAGAUGCGAAAGCGUGGGGAGCGAACGGGAUUAGAUACCCCGGUAGUCCACGCUGUAAACGAUGCCGACUAGCUCUUGGGGAGUAUCGACCCUCCUUUGGAGCGAAGCUAACGCGUUAAGUCGGCCGCCUGGGGAGUACGAGCGCAAGCUUAAAACUCAAAGGAAUUGACGG
rnacentral:rRNA from 1 species